rnacentral:misc_RNA from 1 species
CAAAAAAAAAAAAAAAAAGAAUUUCUUUUAUUUGCCUUGAGCAUGGUGUUUUAAUUUCAUGGUCAUGACUAACAUGCUGGAAGACAAAGCAAUCUCUUGUGUGCUAUCUUGCAAAUAAGUCCAUAGAUAGGAUGGAGAAAGGUCACCUUUCAUAGUUUCAUUGGAUAGCUCAACCGCUAGAGAAAGAAGGAAAAGAAGAAGAGGCCAAGGAGGCAUACAAAUUAGAAGUGGUGCAAUGUGUUGAUUAUAUUGGAAGGCACAAGCCCUAAUUACAAUGCAUGCUUGAGAUUCAUGUAAUAAUUUUCUUCCUUUUUUUAUUUUUUAAAUUGUUGCACAAAAUUUACAUUUAAGUUUCUUAGGCAUUGAUUUUUGAUUGCUAAGAAAGUAGUGGAAAUGCAGAAACUUUAUUAAACUUCUUCAAUUUCUAUUUGUUGCCUCUUGAUUUCUAUUUUUUGUAUUCUUGAAACUAGCCCCCUUUUUUCCCUGGUGGU